GGGGCUAAUACCGGAUGUGAUUAUUUGGUUGCAUGAUCUAAUAAUUAAAGACGCGUAAGCGUCGCUUAGAGAUGAGCUUGCGUCCCAUUAGCUAGUUGGCGGGGUAAUGGCCCACCAAGGCUCUGAUGGGUAGCCGGCCUGAGAGGGUGAACGGCCACAUUGGGACUGAGAUACGGCCCAGACUCCUACGGGAGGCAGCAGUAGGGAAUUUUGCGCAAUGGGCGAAAGCCUGACGCAGCAACGCCGCGUGAGUGAUGACGGCCUUCGGGUUGUAAAGCUCUGUUGGACGGGAAGAAGAGGUAUGUGUAGAGCAUACUAUGACGGUACCGUUCGAGGAAGCUCCGGCUAACUACGUGCCAGCAGCCGCGGUAAUACGUAGGGAGCGAGCGUUGUUCGGAAUUACUGGGCGUAAAGGGAGCGUAGGCGGGUUUGUAAGUUAGGAGUUUAACGCAUGGGCUUAACCCAUGUUUGGCUUUUAAUACUGCAAGUCUUGAGUGUGGGAGAGGGUGAUGGAAUUCCAGGUGUAGCGGUGGAAUGCGUAGAUAUCUGGAAGAACACCAACAGCGAAGGCAGUCACCUGGCCCGAUACUGACGCUGAAGCUCGAAAGUCGGGGGAGCAAACAGGAUUAGAUACCCUGGUAGUCCCGACCGUAAACGAUGAACACUAGCUGCCGGGGGAGUCAAUCCUUUCGGUGACGAAGCUAACGCAUUAAGUGUUCCGCCUGGGGAGUACGCCCGCAAGGGUGAAACUCAAAGGAAUUGACGGGGGCCCGCACAAGCGGUGGAGCAUGUGCUUUAAUUCGAUGCAACGCGAAGAACCUUACCCAGGCUUGACAUGGGGGUGAAAGUCCGUAGAAAUAUGGAACCUUCCGCAAGGAACGCCCUACACAGGUGCUGCAUGGUUGUCGUCAGCUCGUGUCGUGAGAUGUUGGGUUAAGUCCCGCAACGAGCGCAACCCUCGCCCUUAGUUGCCAGCGAGUAAUGUCGGGAACUCUAAGGGGACUGCCUAGUUUAACUAGGAGGAAGGUGGGGAUGACGUCAAAUCCUCAUGGCCCUUACGCCUGGGGCUA
rnacentral:rRNA from 1 species